GGGCAAGGCCGGGAAAAGAUUUGCCCAAGUGAGACUUUGGGCUGAAGGGUGUGCAGGAGUGUGAGGAGGCAGUGCUGUACUUUGGUAUCACAAAGCCAUCAUCUCUAGAUAAGCUGGAUCGCUGGGCUGAGAUUCCACUCCUCAAAAGCUGAUGAUGUUAAGAUUCAGGAUUCUUGCUGGAUUCUGCAGUGAAGUGUUCCAGGAGAUUGAUGCUGCACUGAGGAGCCUGAGGGAUGGAGACUACAACCGAGGUGAGAUGUCU
rnacentral:lncRNA from 1 species